GCCGACUUGGCGCAAUUGGUAGCGCAACGCUCUUGUAAAGCGUAGGUUGCGGGUUCGAGUCCCGCAGUCGGCU
rnacentral:tRNA from 1 species